GAUGAAGAACGUAGCGAGAUGCGAUAAGUAAUGUGAAUUGCAGAAUUCAGUGAAUCAUCGAAUCUUUGAACGCACAUUGCGCCCAUUAGUAUUCUAGUGGGCAUGCCUGUUCGAGCGUCAUUAAGUCCACUUAAGCCCUGCUUAGUGUUGGGAGACUGCUCCAGCGGUGCUACCCUGUAGCUACCCUGCAGCUCCUCAAAGACAGCGGCGGAGUUGUGGUAUCCUCUGAGCUUAGUAACUUGUUCUAGCUUUCGAGUACACCACUUCCCCUGCCGUAAAACCCUUAAUUUUUAAUGGUUGACCUCGGAUCAGGUAGGAAUACCCGCUGAACUUAAGCAUAUCAGUAAGCGGAGGA
rnacentral:misc_RNA from 1 species